GAAAGGCGAAACGUAAUGUGAAUCGCAACUAACAGUGAAUCAUUGAAUCUUUGAACGCAGGCCGCAGCUUAUAACAUCACUUUGUGUUGUUGUAAGGUAUCCACGUAUGAGUGUCAGCCCAGUAUCCUUUAUUGGUUCAAGAAGAUGUUCAUUUAUUUUAAAUGAUACAAAAUCUUGGAUACAUAUUUUAUGGUAAAACAUAAUUAUGUCUGGCCUCAUAUGUGGAAGAUUACCCGCUGGAUUUAAGC
rnacentral:misc_RNA from 1 species